UACGUAGGCAGCAAGCGUUGUUCGGAGUUACUGGGCGUAAAGGGUGUGUAGGCGGUUCUUUAAGUUUGGUGUGAAAUCUCCCGGCUCAACUGGGAGGGUGCGCCGAAUACUGAGGGACUAGAGUACGGGAGAGGAAAGUGGAAUUCCUGGAUGUAGCGGUGAAAUGCGUAGAUAUCAGGAGGAACACCGGUGGUGUAGACGGCUUUCUGGACCGACACUGACGCUGAGACACGAAAGCGUGGGUAGCAAACAGG
rnacentral:rRNA from 1 species